rnacentral:rRNA from 1 species
AUUGAACGCUGGCGGCAGGCUUAACACAUGCAAGUCGAGCGGAGAUGAGGUGCUUGCACCUUAUCUUAGCGGCGGACGGGUGAGUAAUGCUUAGGAAUCUGCCUAUUAGUGGGGGACAACAUUCCGAAAGGAAUGCUAAUACCGCAUACGUCCUACGAGAGAAAGCAGGGGAACUUCGGACCUUGCGCUAAUAGAUGGGCCUAAGUCGGAUUAGGUAGUUGGUGGGGUAAAGGCCUACCAAGGCGACGAUCUGUAGCGGGUCUGAGAGGAUGAUCCGCCACACUGGGACUGAGACACGGCCCAGACUCCUACGGGAGGCAGCAGUGGGGAAUUUUGGACAAUGGGGGCAACCCUGAUCCAGCCAUGCCGCGUGUGUGAAGAAGGCCUUACGGUUGUAAAGCACUUUAAGCGAGGAGGAGGCUACUUUAGUUAAUACCUAGAGAUAGUGGACGUUACUCGCAGAAUAAGCACCGGCUAACUCUGUGCCAGCAGCCGCGGUAAAAC